rnacentral:rRNA from 1 species
CUGGCUCAGGAUGAACGCUAGCUACAGGCUUAACACAUGCAAGUCGAGGGGUAGCAGGGUAGCAAUACCGCUGACGCCGGCGCACGGGUGAGUAACACGUAUCCAACCUUCCCAUAACUCAGGGAUAGCCUUUCGAAAGAAAGAUUAAUACCUGAUAGUACUUUUUCAAGGCAUCUUGAGAAAGUUAAAGAUUUAUUGGUCAUGGAUGGGGAUGCGUUCCAUUAGAUAGUUGGUGAGGUAACGGCUCACCAAGUCUUCGAUGGAUAGGGGUUCUGAGAGGAAGGUCCCCCACAUUGGUACUGAGACACGGACCAAACUCCUACGGGAGGCAGCAGUGAGGAAUAUUGGUCAAUGGGCGAGAGCCUGAGCCAGCCAAGUAGCGUGAAGGAAUGAAGGUCCUAUGGAUUGUAAACUUCUUUUAUAGUAGAAUAAAGUGAUCCACGUGUGGAUUUUUGUAUGUAUACUAUGAAUAAGGAUCGGCUAACUCCGUGCCAGCCGCGGC